rnacentral:lncRNA from 1 species
UGGAGCUGCGGCCCCGGGGGGAGGCGGCCGAGGGCCCCGCGGCGGCGGCGGCGGCAGCGGCGGCGGCGGCCGGGGUCGGGGGGGAGCGCUCCAGCCGGCCGGCCCCGUCCGCUGCACCGGAGCCGGACGGCUGCCCCGUGUGCGUGUGGCGGCAGCACAGCCGCGAGCUGCGCCUGGAGAGCAUCAAGUCGCAGAUCCUGAGCAAACUGCGGCUCAAGGAGGCGCCCAACAUCAGCCGGGAGGUGGUGAAGCAGCUGCUGCCCAAGGCGCCGCCGCUGCAGCAGAUCCUGGAUCUGCACGACUUCCAAGGCGACGCGCUGCAGCCCGAGGACUUCUUGGAAGAGGACGAGUACCACGCUACCACCGAGACGGUCAUAAGCAUGGCCCAGGAGACGGACCCUGCAGUGCAGACAGACGGCAGCCCUCUGUGUUGC